CAGACGCACACCGCGAACCGUACUAACCGGUGGGGGUCGCCUCGAACGGGGCGUCAAACGAUGGCAUGGCCACGGCCCCCACCUUGACUUUCAUUUCAUUUUACACACCUCAACUUGCAGAAUUCCUUCGUGCAUCGCCRCGAAGAAAACAUGAGUAAAAGAUCACAACUUUUAACGGUGGAUCUCUUGGCUCGUGCAUCGAUGAAGAACGCAGCCAGCUGCGAUAAGUAGUGUGAAUUGCAGAAUUCAGUGAAUCAUCGAAUCUUUGAACGCAAAUGGCGCUCUUGGGUUUUCCCAGGAGCACGUCUGUCUGAGUGUCGGUUUCCAAAAUCAACCACGCGCUGCGGCGCGGUCUUGAGGAGUCGCGGCCUCUCUAUCUAUCACUAGGCGGCCUCGUCCCUCGAAAUGGAGCACGACCGAUCCGGGCGGCCCGCGUUGCCACCUCGGCCAGGCCAAAAAAAUUCAAUUUGCCCUGCACCGAAGGCAGCGCCGAGCCGUCCAAACCGGUCGCGGUCGGCCAACAUUUCAACCUCGACCUCAGAUCAGGCGAGACUACCCGCUGAAUUUAAGCAUAUUAAUAAGCGGAGGAAAAGAAACUAACAAGGAUUCC
rnacentral:rRNA from 1 species